rnacentral:lncRNA from 1 species
GGCCAGAGGAGGACAAGAGGCUUUUACACCGAACGGAGGUGAUGUGGACGACAACGGAGACGCAGCCGCACUUCACCAAGCGGCCGGUCCGAGGGGACAUGGCGGCAACCUCUGCAGCGUCAGUGCUGCUGGCGGGUGCAAGAAACUGGUGGCGACACUGCCUGAGCCCGCUGCUGUUGCCAAGAGUCUCACUUCAUCACCAUGCUGGAGUGCAGUGGCACUAUCUGAGAUCACUGCAAUCUCCGCCUCUCGGAUUCAAGCGAUUCUCGUGCCUCAGCCUCCCGAGUAGUAGCUGGGAGUACAGGCAUGUGCCACCAUGCCCAGCUAAUUUUUGUAUUUUUGGUACAGACCUGGUUUCGCCUUGUUGGCCAGGCUGGUCUCGAGCUUCUGACCUCAAGUGAUCCGCCUGCCUCGGCCUUCCAAAGUGCUGGGAUUACAGGCGUGAACCACUGAGACUGGUCAGUUAUUGGCUCUUUUUAAAGAUUGUGUUGCUUUCUGCCUCAAUAUUAAUAUGUUGGAAGUUACCAAGAAGUUCAUGACAGAUCUAUUUCAAAUUCUGGUGAAGAAGGAAGAAUUGGCCCUUGAAAGAAUCAGUGUUUUACAAUAAUUUUGAAAGAGGGUAGCGACAGAAGGAAGAAAACAUUAUCAGGAGGGAAUUCAGAUAAAGGACAAACCAUAUUUUGACUGCUACUGACUUGUUGAACUGGCAGUCGGGGUCAACUUGGGAAGACAGCUGUGACCAUAAAUAUUAAAGAAGACAAAAGGAUUCUUUGUGACACUGAGACCUUCUGCAGUACCACAGUGGAGGAAAUGCCAGUGUACACAACUGGCCUCAUUUAAUUCCUGGGAGGAGAUAGUUUGGGAUGCAGUGCUUGUUGUUGCUGAGCAGGCGAUCACAGCAUGCACUGUGUUUCUUUCUUUGAGAAUAUUUGAAUCCUGCCUGAAUACUCGUAACAGAUGAGAGACGCAGGUUUUGAUAGCAUAGAUUUACGCUGUCAUUAGUCAUGAGCUCUUGGGACGAAAGUAAUUGGUUUUAUCCUGUUUAGAGUUAGACCCUGUGGUUGGGUAUGAAAGAUGAGUGUCUGUAAAAAUCCUUCUUAGAAAUGUAUUUCCUCAAGACUCUGUCUCAAAAAAAAAAAAAAGAAAUUUAUUUCCUAGUUCUGUAAAAAUCGCUAUAUUGAGUGUUCUCUAUCACUUAAUAAUAUACUUAUUAUUAAGUGGACUUAAAGAUAUGCAGUGUAUAAAAUCAGCUAAUUACGUUAAACCAUGGUAUCUCCCUUUAUUGUGUUAGACUGAAUAGAACAAACUUUAAAAUAAUUUUUUAAAGAAUAUAUUUGAAUUCAUUUUGUUUGAUAAUAUGUUUUUAUUCAGAAAAGCAUUUUAUUAGCGCUAGGUGUGAACCCGAGCCUUUUGCUAAAUACCAGCAGCAAUCAUGUCCUAGAGUUAAAUCCCAGAAAAAUUGCCAUAUUAUAUAUUAAAGGUUCAAUAAAUUACAAUAAAGUAUUUUUUCUUUAAAG